rnacentral:rRNA from 1 species
GAACGCUGGCGGCGUGCCUAACACAUGCAAGUCGAACGGAGUUAAGACUUCGGUUUUAACUUAGUGGCGAACGGGUGAGUAACGCGUGAGGAACCUGCCUUUCAGUGGGGGACAACAGUUGGAAACGACUGCUAAUACCGCAUAACGUAUACGGACGGCAUCGUCUGUAUACCAAAGGAGCAAUCCGCUGAAAGAUGGGCUCGCGUCCGAUUAGCUGGAUGGUGAGGUAACGGCCCACCAUGGCGACGAUCGGUAGCCGGACUGAGAGGUUGAUCGGCCACAUUGGGACUGAGACACGGCCCAGACUCCUACGGGAGGCAGCAGUGAGGGAUAUUGGGCAAUGGGGGCAACCCUGACCCAGCGACGCCGCGUGAGGGAUGACGGUCUUCGGAUUGUAAACCUCUGUCUUCGGGGACGAAAAAGGACGGUACCCGAGGAGGAAGCUCCGGCUAACUACGUG